rnacentral:rRNA from 1 species
UACAGAGGUCUCAAGCGUUGUUCGGAUUCAUUGGGCGUAAAGGGUGCGUAGGCGGCGCGGUAAGUCGGGUGUGAAAUCUCGGGGCUUAACUCCGAAACUGCAUUCGAUACUGCCGUGCUUGAGGACUGGAGAGGAGACUGGAAUUCAUCGGUGUAGCGGUGAAAUGCGUAGAUAUCAUAGGAAGACCAGUGGCGAAGGCGGGUCUCUGGACAGUUCCUGACACUGAGACACGAAGGCCAGGGGAGCAAACGGG